rnacentral:pre_miRNA from 1 species
AGGGGAAUAGCUGGUUCAAAUGGUGGUUCCAUUCGCAGCUUUCAAAGGAAUCUAAAUACUGCUUUCCAAAUUGCCUGCACCAAUUUGCAGUCCCACGAGCAAU